rnacentral:rRNA from 1 species
AACGAACGCUGGCGGCAUGCCUAACACAUGCAAGUCGAACGAGAUCUUCGGGUCUAGUGGCGCACGGGUGCGUAACGCGUGGGAACCUGCCCUUAGGUUCGGAAUAACUCCCCGAAAGGGGUGCUAAUACCGGAUAAUGUCUUCGGACCAAAGAUUUAUCGCCUUUGGAUGGGCCCGCGUUGGAUUAGCUAGUUGGUAGGGUAAAAGCCUACCAAGGCGACGAUCCAUACCUGGUCUGAGAGGAUGAUCAGCCACACUGGGACUGAGACACGGCCCAGACUCCUACGGGAGGCAGCAGUGGGGAAUAUUGGACAAUGGGCGAAAGCCUGAUCCAGCAAUGCCGCGUGAGUGAUGAAGGCCUUAGGGUUGUAAAGCUCUUUUACCCGGGAUGAUAAUGACAGUACCGGGAGAAUAAGCUCCGGCUAACUCCGUG